GGCUGUGGUAACUAGUGACGACCCUGAUAUCGUCAAUUUGUUGUGCUCACCACUUGUGUAAACAACCGUUACAAUCUGUUUAACAGUAGCUCACUGCCUUCUGUUAAAUUGCAACGAACCCGUUUAUCAGGUGACAUACAGUUUACGUUAUCUUUAUCAGCAUACGAUGGCACAACUAGCCAGCUCACCAAGGAUUUCUAGGCUAGUUUUGUGUACUUUUGAUAAACGUAGACCUGUAUCAUAUCCUUUUUUUAUGAUCGUGGUAGCGCUACGUUCAUCCACGAGCGCCUUUGUAUGUCAAGUGAGUAAGGGGCUCUUUGGUCAACUGAUGUCCACUCGUGAUUCUGCGAGGGUUCGAUCACUGGGAAAAGGAUACAACUUGCAUCACCAAGCUGACAGAAGGCCUGACCGAGAAUCCUCUAUUCUGCAAGCUCCUGGUAACGCUGUCACAGCAUGUGGACCGCCUCAGCCUUACUGUUACACUGAAGAGAGAGCUGGAUAAGACUGAGAGGGACCUGCAGACAGAGGCUUAAUGGGCUGUGUUCAGAGAGGCUGUACAGGCUACUGCAGGAGAUGAUCCAGGAGCACUGUGUCCGAAAGCACUAUCAGCCUGAAUGGGAGGGUGAGAGUGAAAGGCUGAAGAACAUGAAGCUGUCUCACUUGUCUGGCCUUCUGGAAAACGAAAGGAAAAGAGCAGAGAGUCUGAAGGGGAAGAGCCGUGAGUGCCGCCCUGCUGCAAAAGCAGACUCCCUGCUACCUCUCUGUAAGAGACUCUCAACACUUGGUUUGAUGUAUUCUUAGGUUUGUCUCACGUGUUGCGACCUUCACUCACGAUCUACGUGUUUUCUCCAGGAGCUGUUAGGAUGCAUUCAGAUUCUCCAGUCACUUAUCCUUGACCACAGGCUAAAAGCCCAGAAAUAACUUGACAGGAAACAGUUUGAGUACUUUGAGGCCAAAUGUGAGAUCAUCAUGCAGAAGAUCAGGUGUGAUUAGCCCCUCCUGUUUACAUCUACUCUACACUGGGCUCCUUCAGAUGCAGUUGACUGUUAAUGACUGUGAGAAAUUGGUAUUUCAUGCAUGUCCAUCAGCAAUGUUCCGUUUUCGUGUCUCUUUUACAUUUCUUAAAUAUGUCUCUUCACAAACAGAGGAGAUAUGUUGGAAAUUCAGCUGGACACCUACACAGCAGACACAAUGUCAGCCUAUAGAAUAACAAGGUGAGUCAAAUGCUGCCCAGCAACUCAAUGUCAUUAUCAUAUCAACCACUUUGGGGGCUCUCAACACCUACUUGUCAUUCCCACUCAUGUUGUUCUUUUUGGCAGCUUUGUUCAUCUACUAUGCCUUUCCUUGCCUAAACAUCAGACUGUUACCAUGGUUACUACAUGAAUAUCAGUCUGAAAGAAGUCGCUGUAAAAAAGACUCAUUAGUCUUUACAAGGCAGAAUAUUAAAUAAAAUUAUAUUUACACUUACUUUACCGGUUGUACAUGCUGUCGGUCCUUUUGGCGGUAGGUGGAGAUAGGGUAUCCACAGGAAAGCGUUGUUUACCAGACUUUGCGGUGCCAAUAGGUUCUGUCACUUGUAUUUUCAAUCUGUUGACACAUUGCACUUGAUGACCGAAGCACAUUUCCUGGCAAUCAACUGUUAUUGUUUGCCAUUUGUUUAGGCUCGCCAAUAUUUUGCAAGUCUUUGUCACGUGCAAAUUGUAACAGGAAUGAAAAUGAAAACCGGAAAUACAAACUAUAUACAGACAAAGCCGUGGAAAGUAGUUUGGAGGUGCAGUGAUUUAUUAAAUGUAAUGCCAAGGGGGGGAAAGAUUAAUUGCCCCCACUGAAGAAGUCUGUAUCGAUCCACUAAUACAGGACUAGUAAAGGCCCAGUGCACUACUUUUGUCAAACUGUUUUAACUAAAUGUAUUUGAGUGUUUUCCAGCAUUUGUAACUUGAGUCUGAUAAUUAUCUGUACAAAAGUUAAUCUGCUAAUAAAAAUACUUGCUUGA